GCCCCCUGUCGGAGCGUUUCCUCCGGGCUGGGGAAGCCCUUACCCGAUGUGCUUCCCCCUCAGCGCCAAAGUGUCCUGCUUGCUGUACAGCUCGCACAUGGUGACGGGGUGCCGGGCGUCGGAGGUGCAGCCCUUUCCUGUGUGGAAGCCUCACACCAAUCAAUGCUGCUGCUUGAGUAACCUUAGCCUCCCCGUGACUCACUCUGACUGACCUGAAGACCCUGAUGAGGAGAUACAGGUGCAAAACAGAGGCUUUAAUCCACACAGCAAUGAAGGUGCAAGGGGCUGAGUGCAUGGGAGGAGCCAGGAAGGCAAUGGCCCGGUCCUAGGAGGAAGGCAGGCACUGGCCUCCCCUAGGAAACUACAUCUGUGACUCUUGUGGCUCCUGUCCCAGCCUCUGCCCAGACCACCAGCAAGAUCCCGGGUCAAGCCCCUGUGUUGUGCUUCUCAGUGCAUGGGUGUUUGGAUGGAAGUCGGAAUCAGUCUUCAAUUCAAGGUAAGAAGUGACUCCUCGCUUUCUCGAUGGAGCUGUGAGAGGAGAGUGGAGAUGUGGAAAGGAGCACCAGAGAGUAAGAAGUUCUGAGGAAAGACAGCCUUGAAUCGAGUCACUCCUUGGAACAUCUCCUAUGACCUGAAGCAGCAAGGCACCUUGGCAGACUGCAUACCUCAGCUACAGCAGGUUUUGACUGAGUUAGAGCAAAUAAUACUGCAACAUUAGAGCGGCAGUAUUAUUAAUAGAGCAAUAAUAAUUGCAGCAUUGUCCAAACCGUGUCCUAUGAAAGCUGUGGCUUUUAUCCUUUUCACAGGCAUUACAGUUCGCAUUCUCAUCUUGAAGAUAUUAUUUGUGGAACAUCCAUACUGUAUUAUAGGGCACUUGUUUUCUGGAAAAUACAGCUUGGUCCAGAAGAAGUGAAGGACAGCCCCCACUGAAGUAUUUUUUGCUAUCCUUGUUUUGAUGUUGAUAUUAUAAUUUGUAAGAGAAUAGAAAGAAAAAUGUACAUAGAAUUAUGUCUCUUUUCUUGAGGGAUUCUUUGCUAUCAAUUCUGAUCCAAAUUUUUUUUUCUGAUCCAAAUUUUAACGUGAAUUAUAGGCUCUCUGUUGUAUAGCACAUUUACACACCCAGCUGCUUAUAUUAUCCCUGAAUGACUUGUUCUGUAUCUCCUUGGGUAAUUGCUUUCAUGCAUUUAUUACUUAUCUUUUGGGUGACAGUCACAUGUUGGAUAUUAAGGACAUACGAACAAACAACACAGACAUCUCUAUUUCUGUAACAGCCUGUAAGAAGUGCUGUGAUAAAUGAAGCACAAGUGUGAGGCAGCACCGAGGGCAGCUGCCUAACCAAGAGUUGAGGCUCUAGAACGGUGAUUAUCAACGAGUUUUCUGUGGUACACUGCUGAGCUGUGACAGGAUCAUAGGUGUGCCAUGAAAAUUUUUGAACAUCAUUAAUUAAAUUAUUUUCAAAAGAAUUUCAAGCACAGUAAAUGUAUUCUUUUCUGUUUUUGCUCUUUUUUGUUUGUUUGUUUGUUUGUUUUUGGCCAGGGAUGGGUUUGAACCCACCACCUCUGGCAUAUGGGACCGGCGCCCUACUCCUUGAGCCACAGGCGCCGCCCAGUUUUUGCUCUUUUUUUGAUCAACAUAAUUUAAGUGUGCCGUGGAAGUUUAACUACAGGUUCCAGUGUGCUGUGAGAUAAAAAAGGUUGAAAAACACUAGUCUAGGAGCUUGUCAGAAAUAUAAAUUCUCAAAUCCCAUCCAAGAUCUGCUGAGUCAGAAACUGAAGGAGUGGGGCCCAGCAAUCUGUGUUUCCUCAAGUCCUCCAGGUAAUUCUGGUCAAUGCUGAAGUUUGAGAAUUCCCAUACUAUAAGUAGCUUCCUAACCUGGAGGGACAGUGAAAAGCCAAUACACACAAAUUGAAAGAAAGAAGAUGUAGAAGGUAAACAUCCGAUGGUAAGUGGACAACACUACACACAGUGCACGAAGAUACAGAUAAGCCCUGCAAUGAAAUUACUAGAUGAUAUUCCACUCUACUUUAUAUGAAAACAUGUUAGCACAUCUUCCCUUACCCAGCAUGCCACAAAUGAACUGUGAGCAUUGUUUUACCUAUUAUUCACAUUCAUAAAAUUCAUAAGUUCCAGGGGGUUUUAUUGUUGUUGCAACUUUUGUUAUUUUUUUUUUUUUUUAGAUGGAGACUCACUCUGUUGCCCUGGGUAGAGUGAUAUGGUGUCAUAGCUCACAGCAACCUCAGACUCUUGGGUUCAAGCCAUCCUCCUGCCUCAGCCUUCUGAGUAGCUGGCACUAUUGAUGCCCACCACCUUGGGCAGCUAAUUUUUCUUUUUUUUUAUUUUUAUUUUUAUUUUUUUUGUAGAGACAGAGUCUCACUGUACCGCCCUCGGUAGAGUGCCGUGGCGUCACACGGCUCACAGCAACCUCCAACUCUUGGGCUUACGCGAUUCUCUCGCCCCAGCCUCCCAAGCAGCUGGGACUACAGGCGCCCGCCACAACGCCUGGCUAUUUUUCCGUUGCAGUUUGGCCGGGGCCGGGUUUGAACCCGCCACCCUCGGUAUAUGGGGCCGGCGCCCCACUCACUGAGCCACAGGCGUCGCCCGGGCAGCUAAUUUUUCUAUUUUUAGUAGAGAUGGGGUCUUGCUCAGGCUGGUCUUAAAUUCCUGAGCUUAAGCAAUCCUCCCAGAGUAGGAUUACAGGUGUGAGCUACCAUGCCCAGCCUAACACAGUAGGGUUUAAUAGUGUUUUGAGAUGUAAGCCAAGCAUAUGUGCCCAAAUCAGCUUCACUAAAAAUAGUUUUUCUUUUUUUUUUUCUUUUUUGAGACAGAGCCUCAAGCUGUCGCCUCUGGGUAGAGUGCUGUGGCAUCACAGCUCACAGCGACCUCCAGCUCCUGGGCUUAAGUGAUUCUCUUGCCACAGUCUCCCAAGUAGCUGGGACCACAGGCGCCUGCCACAAUGCUCGGCUAUUUUUUGGUUGUAGCUGUCAUUGUUGUUUGGCAGGCCUGGGCUGGAUUCGAACCCGCCAGCCCUGGUGUAUGUGGCUGGCACCAUGCUGAGCCCUAAAAAUAGUUUUUCAAGGAAAUUUAAUCAUGCUUAAACUCCUCAGUGUCCCAUCACCAGGCUGAUAGCUUUGUGUUGAGUAAAAAGCCUCUUGUGAUCCAACCUGUGCCCAGUUUUAUAGCAUCAGCCAUGCAAGUCAUCAACCCUUGCUUGUGAUCUUUCCAUGCUCCCUAGCCAUGGGAUGUCUUCAUUUGCAUCCCCACCACCCAUCUGUGGAAUACUUGCUAUCCUCCCAAGACUCAACACAUGUCAACUUACUAAACAUCUCUUCCCACCAAGUUGAUAUAAUUUCUCACACUUGUCACUGCUAAAACACUUCUCAGAUGGGUACAAACUGUAUGUUUGUCUCCUUCACUAGAUAGCAAACCAAGCAUGAGCCCAACCCAUAGCAGGUUCUCAAGAAAUAUUUUAAAAGAAAUAAAUGAGGUCAGGUGCAGUGGGUCACUCCUGUAAUCUUAGCACUCUACGUGGCUGAGUCGGGAGGAUCGCUUGAGCUCAGCAAUUCAAGGCCAGCCUGAGCAAGAAUGAAACCUAUCUCUACUAAAAAUAGAAAAAGUAGCUGGGCAUUGUGGCGGGUGCCUGUAGUCCCAGUUAUUCAGGAGGCGGAGGCAAGAGGAUUGCUUGAGCCCAGGAGUUUGAAGUUGCUGUGAGCUAUGAUGCCAUGGGCACUCUAGACUAGGGCAACAGAAUGGGACUGUCUCCAAAAACAAAAAACUCUAUUUACUGUAGGGGUAUCCUUUAUAAGAAAUCUCACAUGAAAAAAUCUUUUCAAUUAGGUUUGAUUCUUUGAAGUAAUUGGUGUGUUUUUACCUUUUGGAUAAUGUCCAUGUGUUAUUGAUUUAUUCCCCUUUUUUGCUAUGGUCACCAGGAAGCUCAGAGCCACAUCAGUUGUUCAAUUUAAUGCUAUCAUAGAAUUAUAUGUGUUAGUAUCUUUUCAUUAUAACUUUCUUUGUGGUCUUCAACUAUGUUUAUAUAUGGUUUUCCUAGUUCUUAUUUUUAAACUUACUUAUGUAAGUUCUUUAUGUUUUUAAAAUUUGUAUCAAAGACUAUGUAAAAUGAAAUG